CGUGCUUCCUUCUCUUCCUUCCCCAACCAGGGGAAUUCCUUCUAAUAAAAGUCUACACAGUAACUGGAAGGAAGGAAGGAAGGGAGGGAGGAAGGGAGGCGAGGGAGGAAGGAAGGAAGGAGGGAAGGAAAAAGUGAAAAGAAAGGGGGAGAGGGGAAGAAAAUGAUGAGAACUUUUGAAUGUUUAACAAAAGCAGUUGAAGAGCUACAAACCAGACAUUAAGGCUAAAGCCAUCUACAUAUUUGCAAGCUUUGCCUGUCUGGGAUGAAUGGUCUUGAAGAGAAAAUGAUCAUAAUUUGCAUGAAGCUGACUCACCUCUGGGUAGAGAGAGAAAAGGAAACUAAGGGUUGGAGACAUGCAGCAGCUUUCACACAGCGAGUAAAGGGUAGGGGUAGUGACAAAAUAAGAACUCAAGCCUGCCUAUCUUCAAAGUAACCACGUUAUUUUCCAGGGGCUCAACUCUUUCCAGUACAUGGGUCAUACUUAGAUAGCAUUUCAAAGUGAAGGCCAAACAGCUAUGAGAAAAUAAGAAACCAGUGGGAAUUGGAGAAAAGAAGAUCAAGAAUCCUGCCUUCAUCCUUCCCCAGCCCACUACAGUGGCUCUCCUAAGGCCUCAAUUAUCCAAAUAUCUACUCUGUUAAAGAAACUCAGAAUAUGCCUCUCUAAACAGGGGAGAAUGUAAUAUACUUGACUCCUCACAGAUUUGAUGAUCAUUUUGG
rnacentral:lncRNA from 1 species